rnacentral:rRNA from 1 species
UAAGACAGCUGGAUGAUAGCCGGGCUGAAGACUCUGCUUGACUAGCUGAGAGGAGGUGCAUGGCCGUCGUCAGUUCGUACUGUGAAGCAUCCUGUUAAGUCAGGCAACGAGCGAGACCCACGCCAACAGUUGCCAGCAUGUCCUCCGGGAUGAUGGGGACACUGUUGGGACCGCCUCUGCUAAAGAGGAGGAAGGAAUGGGCAACGGUAGGUCAGCAUGCCCCGAAUUAUCCGGGCUACACGCGGGCUACAAUGGUCAGGACAAUGGGUAUCAACACCGAAAGGUGAAGGCAAUCUCCUAAACCUGUCCUUAGUUCGGAUUGUGGGCUGCAACUCGCCCACAUGAAGCUGGAAUCUGUAGUAAUCGCGUCUCAAAAUGGCGCGGUGAAUAUGUCCCUGCUCCUU